GCCGUUGAAGUUCCCUGUGCUGUGAGGGAAAUGGUAAGAAGCCUGCCACACCAAUUUGGACUGGCCUAGCCCUCCGUCCAAGAUAGACAUGAUGCUGAUUCCAGGGAUCAACCUAUGAGAAACUGUUCUGUACCAUCUUGGAUCUUCAGAAACAUGAGUCUAGCUGAAAAGAUAAGAAGGUGUGGAUAUAAUUAUGGCUGAGCAUCUGACCAUAUCAAAUUUGAUACAGUCAAAUUGAAGACUCAGGUGGUAUGAAGUGAUUCAUCCAGCCAGGGUUUGUGGGAGGAAGAUGCAAAUUCCGGAGGUGGUAGUCACAGAACAAAUGGUCAAAACAAAGAUCUUACAAGGUUAGAAGCAUAGGACUUUAUGUUAGGCCAUAUUCACCCCAAUCCUGGGCAUGUGUAGCUUGCUAUUUGGUUUUCCUGGCAAGCCUGAGAAGGUGGUGGUUAUACAUAUACACUACCGAGUCUCCAGGUCACACCUAUACCUCUAAGAGGGUGCAUUUUGGAACAUUCAAGAUGAUACAUAGGGUGGCUGGAGAGACAGCUCACUGGUGAAGAACACCUGCUGCUCUUCCAAAGGACUCCAGUUCAUUUCCCAUCACUCACAUCAGGCUAUCAAAAGGGAUCGUGACUGAACACAACCAGGACAUCAGAAUCUCUGGCUCUUGUCUUUUAGACUUCGAAGGAGGAUCAUUACUAUUAUUUACUCUACGCCUGCCCAAGACCUCCCUCAGUUCCUUGUCUGCAGGCCUAAACAUCUGAGCAGAGAAAAUAAAAGCAAAGAGUUCCCUAAAAUGCCACCAUACAGAAGGUUCAGGAAGUAAGAAACCUAAAGGCCUAAUUAUGCCUCUGAGAGAAGUGGUUUGGCAUCUCCAUCCCUGGAGGAAUGAUGUAGCACACACCAAGGCUUUAUGAACAGACAGCUUCCAGCCCAGGUUACAAAGCCUUGGGGACUACAGCAGAAAGCCAGCAUGUCAUAAUCACAAGGGUGACGAAAAUCACUCUCUUCCUGUCUCUGAAUGUGACUCCGUGAGAUGCUCAGUAAGUACAACCUAUCACAAAAUCUAUCCCUGAGUACUAUCUUCAGCACCCUUUAGUACCAAUGGGUACUGGGUGAAUGGAAAACUUCAAAGAAACUGCAGAUCUGAGAGAACAUUUUGGAUUCACGGGAGUGCCUGCUGCUACAGGUUAUCAGCAGGAUCCCCACAUGAGGAACAGAAACGAUUUCCCCUCAAACCCUUUUUCCUGUACCUUAAACCAAGCUCCUCUGUGCUACAAGGUGAUAGAUAAUCCAUGAGAGAAGAUCGUGGAAACUUCAGGAAACAGGGAGGCCCCUGCAAUCAAGCACAUCCCUGGCACCUCUUCAGUGGAAGCUCCUCUGACACCCAUCAAGUUGGUCGUCAUUAAUGCCUUAGUCCCAUCUUCAUUGGCUCCCUGGCUGCACCCUUUGGCUUUAAACUCUCCUAAAGAUGGCUGUCCUGUUAUGAAGGCUGCUUGCUAACUGUUUAAAGUCUGCUCGGAUCUUCUAUUAUGGGCAUUCUGUCCUGUCAACUCAUCUGAUGUCAACCAGCAUGAACCACGUUACUAGCUUGCAUUGCCUCUUGGUCACAUAAGCCCCUCGAACUUUUAUCUGUAUAUUGUCCUAGAGAACAUGAGGCACGAAUCCUCUCUUUUCUUUAUCUCCGUGCACAGUUUCCCGAUAGAGAGAAGCAGAGAGCUCAGUGGGUACAGCUGAAUUGUUGAUUUGGAUGAAACUUGAACUUUAAAGGUUGGGGACAAGCAAGGGCUCUUAAGACCACUAACCAUAUCCAGCAGGAAAUAAGUUCCAAGUGAGCAAUACAUGGGAUUCGGGCUGACGAGGACAUGGGGAAACGUAAAUGAGCUGAGCAGAAAGGCUUCAUCGAGAAGGUCAGAGAAGAGUCUUCUGGAGAAACCUGAGCAUCAAAUGAGCAGGGACACUAAAGACAGUGAAUUCACCAUGGCAUCUAACAUGUGCUCAGCUGGAGGGAACAAGAGCUUGCAAUCAAACUCUCAUAAGUACUGA
rnacentral:lncRNA from 1 species